CACGCUUCCUUACUUCCCAUAGG
rnacentral:miRNA from 1 species